ACCAUUGAACUAAAAUAUAUGGAACGCUACCUUAACUGAACAUGCCCAGACUUGCCUGAAGCCAAAUUUUACCUCCAGACACGCGUGUCUGGAGGUAAAAUUCACGCGCGUUGUCGCGUUUCCUGCGUGGCGCCGAAGAACAGCGACAGCCAACCAACAUGCAUUUAUAGCAACAUGUGAUUGAAAAGGUUUUGAAAAGGAAGGCACUUCUCUUGUUAUGGAGCUAAUCGGUUAAAUUGUCAUUCAAUACAGCAUGAAUCAUAACUUUUCAUACGUGUAUUCGAUCGGUAAAUCGGGGAAAUGAAACAUUUUUUCGUUCAAAUUGAAUGUGUACACAAACGACAUGGAUUCAGAGAUUCAGAGUGGCAUUGUAAAGUUGUAAACACGUAAGUGCCUUUACUAAAUUUAUUAAAUAUGCAUGAAGCUCAAUCGCAUCUGCAACAGAGUAACUGAAAUUGUAUGUGAUUUGAGGACAGUUUGUUUGCCAGGUUCAAUCCUUCUUGUUCUUGAAUAUUCUGAAGCUCUUCGAUAUGUUUCUAUCUUAUGAUGUUGCCAUCUCCAUCAAUGGGCCAUUCCAUUUAUUAAAUAUAGCCAGGCACCCCCCUAUUGAGGGGUCCCUUCCAAAUCCCCUUAUAUAUAUAUAAACAUUUUAGAACCCCCUUGGAUGUGAUUUUUGGAAGUUACCCCAUGGAUAUCUUGAUACCCCCUUUAGGAUAUCGUUUUUGCCCCCUUGGAUAUCACUAAAACACCUAAUUUUUGCUAUUUUUUGGAAAAUUUUUAGGUAAAAACCCCCUCCUCCAUAGGAUAUCCAGACCCCUCAAUAGGGGGGUGCCUAUAUUAAAUGGAAUGGCCCAUUAUAAAGGAUCCCAUGGACAGGGUCGAGUAUCACAAAAACAUCUUUGGUUGUUGGAUUCUUAAAAGUUACCAGAAAAUUUGCAACCCAGUGUUUUGAAUGUACUAAUGUUAACAUUUGUGCCAUCAGCUGUUACUGACCACAUUUUUAGAUUAGCAUUUGCAACUUUUUCAAGACACUUUUUACCAGUGUGGCUUGGUCCUUUGCAUUCAUUUUAUCAGCCAAGAGGUAUCCCACUGAACAUUUACAGUACAAUGACUUCUGGUACCUACCAGAAGAAAAACCAAAGCUUCUGUGGCCAAUUUUUCUAAAUGUCCAUUAGGAAUCUCAUUUCCAAAGUCUACAAAUCCGUAGGAGUCUUUUUCUGGAUUCCAAAUGGUUUGUUUUCGGAUAGACAUUGCGUCUAUUACCAAACAGUAAUCUUUGUCAGUAUUUGAUUGAGCUCAGCUCGGCUGAUAAUGCUUACCUCAACCUUCUGAGAAAGGGAUGAGAAUGCCUCAUCAAUAAAGCAUGAAAAAGAUGGAAAAGCAUAUUUUUUGAGUCGACAUGUGUUGUUGGAUGAAGGAGGCAAGAUGUAAUCAGUUGAUUGGAAAUGCUUGCUGCCUAUAUGACUGUCCUGGUUGACUUGCCAUGGCUUUUUAUUAACUUUUUUGAACAUAAUUCUCCCAACAUAUUUGUAAAGCAUUAUUUUUCAAAGGAAAUCCAUAACAAUAAUAAUAAUUUUUAUGUAAAUUCAGCUUAAUUAUCACCCUUCUGUCUGUCUGCUUGUCUUAUUUAUUCUUGUGUUUGUUUUUUUUGUUGUAGGUGAUGUACACAUGUCAAAAGUCAAAAUGUGUAAAAUAGGCUUGUUUUUGUUAUAUUUUCUUUGAAGUAUCUAAUAUCACAGGUUUAUGUUUUUUUUUUGUUUUUUUUUCCUGUGUUGGUGUUGUGUACUCAGGUGAAUAUGAUAUUUGUGAUGUUACUCUGAGGGUAUAUCCACACCGGGCCAGCUUGAAAAAUAUGCCCGGCCACAGAGGGAUUUGAACCUACGACCUUUGGAAUACUAGCCCAAUGCUCUUCCAACUGAGCUACGCGGUCAGGACGGUUCGAGUAAGUGAUAUUUAGGAACUGAAUCUAGUUCCUUCGAUACCAAUGUAUUCUAGUAAUAUGAUAUAUUUUUUUUGGCUAGUAUUCCAAAGGUCGUAGGUUCGAAUCCCACCAUGGCCGGGCAUAUUUUUCAAGCUCGCCCGGUGUGGAUAUACACUCAGAGUAACAUCACAAAUAUCAGGUUUAUGUUUGUUUUUUGUGUGUAUAAUUAAGCCCAAACUAAGAAAUAUUGUUGCAGAAACAUUAGUGAUUCUCAAUGUUUCCUCAAAUGUUUUCCCAUUUGCCCACCUGUGGAAACAUUGUUGCAGAAACAAAUUUUGCUUCUUGGGAAACAAGAAUGUUUCCUACCAAGUUCAGACUAAGAUAAUAGUUGCGGAAACAUUGUUUCUCCGUUUGCCCACCUUGGCCGGCUUGGGAACAUUGGCAGGAAACAAUGUGGAUUUUUAGUAAAGUAAACAAAGGAUAAAUAAAUACCUGUGAAAUGUGAAUUUUUAGUAAAGUAAACAAGAAAUAAAUAAAUACCUGUGAAAUGUGAAUUUUUAGUGAAGUAAAAUGAAUAAAUAAAUACUUAUAAUAAUAAAUAAAUAAUAAUAUACUAUCUAUUUCUUC